UACAGAGGGGGCAAGCGUUGUUCGGAAUUACUGGGCGUAAAGGGCGCGUAGGCGGCCCGCUAAGUCGAACGUGAAAUCCCCGAGCUCAACUCGGGAACUGCGUCCGAUACUGGUGGGCUUGAAUCCGGGAGAGGGAUGCGGAAUUCCAGGUGUAGCGGUGAAAUGCGUAGAUAUCUGGAGGAACACCGGUGGCGAAGGCGGCAUCCUGGACCGGCAUUGACGCUGAGGCACGAAAGCGUGGGGAGCAAACAGG
rnacentral:rRNA from 1 species